AAGGGGAACAGAAUGACUCUAUGGGUCCAGGUUAACACUCUAUAAAGGGAACAGAAUGACUCUCUAUGGGUCCAGGUUAACACUCUAUAAAGGGGAACAGAAUGACUCUAUGGGUCCAGGUUAACACUCUAUAAAGGGAACAGAAUGACUCUCUAUGGGUCCAGGUUAACACUCUAUAAAGGGAACAGAAUGACUCUAUGGGUCCAGGUUAACACUCUAUAAAGGGAACAGAAUGACUCUCUAUGGGUCCAGGUUAACACUCUAUAAAGGGAACAGAAUGACUCUAUGGGUCCAGGUUAACACUCUAUAAAGGGGAACAGAAUGACUCUAUGGGUCCAGGUUAACACUCUAUAAAGGGAACAGAAUGACUCUAUGGGUCCAGGUUAACACUCUAUAAAGGGAACAGAAUGACUCUCUAUGGGUCCAGGUUAACACUCUAUAAAGGGAACAGAAUGACUCUAUGGGUCCAGGUUAACACUCUAUAAAGGGAACAGAAUGACUCUCUAUGGGUCCAGGUUAACACUCUAUAAAGGGGAACAGAAUGACUCUAUGGGUCCAGGUUAACACUCUAUAAAGGGGAACAGAAUGACUCUAUGGGUCCAGGUUAACACUCUAUAAAGGGGAACAGAAUGACUCUCUAUGGGUCCAGGUUAACACUCUAUAAAGGGAACAGAAUGACUCUAUGGGUCCAGGUUAACACUCUAUAAAGGGGAACAGAAUGACUCUCUAUGGGUCCAGGUUAACACUCUAUAAAGGGAACAGAAUGACUCUCUAUGGGUCCAGGUUAACACUCUAUAAAGGGAACAGAAUGACUCUCUAUGGGUCCAGGUUAACACUCUAUAAAGGGGAACAGAAUGACUCUAUGGGUCCAGGUUAACACUCUAUAAAGGGGAACAGAAUGACUCUAUGGGUCCAGGUUAACACUCUAUAAAGGGAACAGAAUGACUCUCUAUGGGUCCAGGUUAACACUCUAUAAAGGGGAACAGAAUGACUCUAUGGGUCCAGGUUAACACUCUAUAAAGGGAAUAGAAUGACUCUCUAUGGGUCCAGGUUAACACUCUAUAAAGGGGAACAGAAUGACUCUCUAUGGGUCCAGGUUAACACUCUAUAAAGGGAAUAGAAUGACUCUCUAUGGGUCCAGGUUAACACUCUAUAAAGGGGAACAGAAUGACUCUAUGGGUCCAGGUUAACACUCUAUAAAGGGGAACAGAAUGACUCUCUAUGGGUCCAGGUUAACACUCUAUAAAGGGGAACAGAAUGACUCUCUAUGGGUCCAGGUUAACACUCUAUAAAGGGGAACAGAAUGACUCUAUGGGUCCAGGUUAACACUCUAUAAAGGGGAACAGAAUGACUCUCUAUGGGUCCAGGUUAACACUCUAUAAAGGGGAACAGAAUGACUCUAUGGGUCCAGGUUAACACUCUAUAAAGGGGAACAGAAUGACUCUAUGGGUCCAGGUUAACACUCUAUAAAGGGGAACAGAAUGACUCUAUGGGUCCAGGUUAACACUCUAUAAAGGGGAACAGAAUGACUCUAUGGGUCCAGGUUAACACUCUAUAAAGGGGAACAGAAUGACUCUAUGGGUCCAGGUUAACACUCUAUAAAGGGGAACAGAAUGACUCUAUGGGUCCAGGUUAACACUCUAUAAAGGGGAACAGAAUGACUCUCUAUAGGUCCAGGUUAACACUCUAUAAAGGGGAACAGAAUGACUCUAUGGGUCCAGGUUAACACUCUAUAAAGGGAACAGAAUGACUCUAUGGGUCCAGGUUAACACUCUAUAAAGGGGAACAGAAUGACUCUCUAUGGGUCCAGGUUAACACUCUAUAAAGGGGAACAGAAUGACUCUCUAUGGGUCCAGGUUAACACUCUAUAAAGGGAACAGAAUGACUCUAUGGGUCCAGGUUAACACUCUAUAAAGGGGAACAGAAUGACUCUAUAGGUCCAGGUUAACACUCUAUAAAGGGGAACAGAAUGACUCUAUGGGUCCAGGUUAACACUCUAUAAAGGGGAACAGAAUGACUCUAUGGGUCCAGGUUAACACUCUAUAAAGGGGAACAGAAUGACUCUAUGGGUCCAGGUUAACACUCUAUAAAGGGGAACAGAAUGACUCUAUGGGUCCAGGUUAACACUCUAUAAAGGGGAACAGAAUGACUCUAUGGGUCCAGGUUAACACUCUAUAAAGGGAACAGAAUGACUCUCUAUGGGUCCAGGUUAACACUCUAUAAAGGGGAACAGAAUGACUCUCUAUGGGUCCAGGUUAACACUCUAUAAAGGGAACAGAAUGACUCUAUGGGUCCAGGUUAACACUCUAUAAAGGGAAUAGAAUGACUCUAUGGGUCCAGGUUAACACUCUAUAAAGGGGAACAGAAUGACUCUCUAUGGGUCCAGGUUAACACUCUAUAAAGGGGAACAGAAUGACUCUAUGGGUCCAGGUUAACACUCUAUAAAGGGGAACAGAAUGACUCUAUGGGUCCAGGUUAACACUCUAUAAAGGGGAACAGAAUGACUCUAUGGGUCCAGGUUAACACUCUAUAAAGGGGAACAGAAUGACUCUAUGGGUCCAGGUUAACACUCUAUAAAGGGAACAGAAUGACUCUAUGGGUCCAGGUUAACACUCUAUAAAGGGAACAGAAUGACUCUCUAUGGGUCCAGGUUAACACUCUAUAAAGGGAACAGAAUGACUCUCUAUGGGUCCAGGUUAACACUCUAUAAAGGGGAACAGAAUGACUCUCUAUGGGUCCAGGUUAACACUCUAUAAAGGGAAUAGAAUGACUCUCUAUAGGUCCAGGUUAACACUCUAUAAGGGGAACAGAAUGACUCUCUAUGGGUCCAGGUUAACACUCUAUAAAGGGAACAGAAUGACUCUAUGGGUCCAGGUUAACACUCUAUAAAGGGAACAGAAUGACUCUCUAUGGGUCCAGGUUAACACUCUAUAAAGGGAACAGAAUGACUCUAUGGGUCCAGGUUAACACUCUAUAAAGGGGAACAGAAUGACUCUAUGGGUCCAGGUUAACACUCUAUAAAGGGGAACAGAAUGACUCUAUGGGUCCAGGUUAACACUCUAUAAAGGGAACAGAAUGACUCUAUGGGUCCAGGUUAACACUCUAUAAAGGGAACAGAAUGACUCUAUGGGUCCAGGUUAACACUCUAUAAAGGGGAACAGAAUGACUCUCUAUGGGUCCAGGUUAACACUCUAUAAAGGGAACAGAAUGAC